UAGGGAAUCUUCGGCAAUGGGGGGAACCCUGACCGAGCAACGCCGCGUGAGUGAUGAAGGUCUUCGGAUCGUAAAACUCUGUUAUUAGGGAAGAACAAAUGUGUAAGUAACUAUGCACGUCUUGACGGUACCUAAUCAGAAAGCCACGGCUAACUACGUGCCAGCAGCCGCGGUAAUACGUAGGUGGCAAGCGUUAUCCGGAAUUAUUGGGCGUAAAGCGCGCGUAGGCGGUUUUUUAAGUCUGAUGUGAAAGCCCCCGGCUCAACCGGGGAGGGUCAUUGGAAACUGGUUGACUUGAGUGCAGAAGAGGAGAGUGGAAUUCCAUGUGUAGCGGUGAAAUGCGUAGAUAUAUGGAGGAACACCAGUGGCGAAGGCGACUCUCUGGUCUGUAACUGACGCUGAGGCUCGAAAGCGUGGGUAGCAAACAGG
rnacentral:rRNA from 1 species